AGCGAACGCUGGCGGCAGGCCUAACACAUGCAAGUCGAACGAAGUCUUCGGACUUAGUGGCGGACGGGUGAGUAACACGUGGGAACGUGCCUUUAGGUUCGGAAUAACUCAGGGAAACUUGUGCUAAUACCGAAUGUGCCCUUCGGGGGAAAGAUUUAUCGCCUUUAGAGCGGCCCGCGUCUGAUUAGCUAGUUGGUGGGGUAAUGGCCCACCAAGGCUACGAUCAGUAGCUGGUCUGAGAGGAUGACCAGCCACAUUGGGACUGAGACACGGCCCAAACUCCUACGGGAGGCAGCAGUGGGGAAUCUUGCGCAAGGGGCGAAAGCCUGACGCAGCCAUGCCGCGUGGAUGAUGAAGGUCUUAGGAUUGUAAAAUCCUUUCACCGGUGAAGAUAAUGACUGUAGCCGGAGAAGAAGCCCCGGCUAACUUCGUGCCAGCCGCCGCCGUAAUAC
rnacentral:rRNA from 1 species